AUCCUGACUACUGAAUCUUCAACAUCCACCCUACCCUUCUGCAAGUAGAGCACAAAUUCUACAAGACCAAGGACUAUGUUCAUGUCUUGUUCCCUGCACAGUGCUCGACACCUAAUAGGGACAUGAUAAAUAUUUAUGGAAUGAAUGAAUGAACUUAGUUAAUUCAAGACAUACUUCAAAGACCCUUUACAAAACCCAAUUGACACGGUUCAAGGACUAGGCAUGAAAGACAAAAAUUUUUUUUCACAGGAUGGAUGAGACUUGGCAGCAGUAUAUAUGGACAAAAAUCUGAGAAGUUUUAUUUUUCUCAAGCUUAAUGUGAGAAGAGGGCCAACUGUGCAAUUCAUCUGCUAAGCCAUGAACAAAAGGAAGCAGGCUGGUUUUGGCCUGCAGGGUAUAGUUCCUUGACCUCGGCUUCAUCCAAACACUCUAAUUUCAUCUCGUAUUUGUAUCCUUGGAGUGCCCAAUGCCAGCAAUACAGCCUACCCCUGGAAGAUGCCCAGUAUUGACCAUUUGAAUUUGAUAAAAGAGAUCCAGAACUCAAAGAUCCUUGAUGCUUUUUAUCAAUUCCACUAAACGUCAAGGACAGGAAAUAAAAACAUUUUUCUCUUCCGACUCAAACACAAUACCCCUUUGUGAAGCUGCUAAAAAUCUAGAAAUGGCAAAUCUGGGAAAAUUUUCAGGUGAGCGAUAGGCAUCAAAAUAUUUCAUUUUUGCUAAAAAUAUCUCUUAAGUUUUUCUUAGCAUUCCAACUCACAUCACACUGAAUUUGAGUACAAAGAACAGAAUCUGUUUUACCCUUGUAUUGGCAGUGACUUUGAGGUUAUACAAAGGAGUCAAAGUAGCCUGUCCUAUGACACUGAAGU
rnacentral:lncRNA from 1 species